GUGACCUACGGUUGUGCUGCGUGGGUAUUACUUGGGUGCCGGGCGUUGGCCGGAGUUAUUGGGCGUAAAGUGCUCGUAGGCGGUUUGUCGCGUCGGGAGGAGAAACUUCGAGCUUAGCUCGGAGCUUGCUUUCGAUACGGGCAGACUGGAGGCAUGCAGGGGAGAACGGAAUGCCUGGUGUAGCGGUGAAAUGCGCAGAUAUCAGGAGGAACACCGGUGGCGAAGGCGGUUCUCUGGGAAUGUUCUGACGCUGAGGAGCGAAAGUGUGGGGAGCGAACAGGAUUAGAUACCCUUGUAGUC
rnacentral:rRNA from 1 species